rnacentral:rRNA from 1 species
UACGGGGGGGGCAAGCGUUGUUCGGAAUUACUGGGCGUAAAGGGCUCGUAGGUGGCCAACUAAGUCAGACGUGAAAGCCCUGGGCUUAACCUGGGAACUGCAUUCGAUACUGUCUGGCUAGAGUAUGGGAGAGGGAAGCGGAAUUUCCGGUGUAGCGGUGAAAUGCGUAGAUAUCGGAAGGAACACCAAUGGCGAAGGCAGCUUCCUGGCCCAAUACUGACGCUCAGGUGCGAAAGCGUGGGGAUCAAACAGG